UAGUGAAAUUCCUCCAACAGCUUUGUGGGCCCUGGAUUGGAGCUGGAAAGAAAGACCAUGGUGAAUGCCACUUGUGAUGGGUCCAGCUGACAGUCGGACUUGGGGGCCCUUGGGAAACUGCCUUUGAAGAUCCUCAGAAAUACUUGGGAGGGUGGUGAGUUUAUGAAGGACUCACAGAGGCUACCAUAUGGAUAGGAAUAAAACCAGUUGUGUUGUUGCAAGACCAAUUAUGGGAUGAAUGAUGAAGGAACUGUGGAAAUACAGAACUAAGUAAAUCACCUUCUGCUGUCAUCAGAGAAGGCUCAAUGCAGGGGCAUCACUGGCACUAGCUCUGGAAGGUUAAGGGACAUGGCACAGGUGAUUAACUGCCACAGCAAUAGAUGCCUUUGAAUGAAUACACUGACCUCCAUGCUCAGUUCCGCCUGGCUGAUGUGCAUGCAGAUUGUUCCCCUGUGGCUUGAGUAGCAUCUUCUGCUCUAGGAGACAAUGGGAAACAGGAUCUCAUUGACACAGGCCACCUCCUUUCCCAAGAGCCCUUCAUUUUGAUGACAAAGGACUCUUACCUUGCAAUAUGAACAAAGGCCAAAUGGCUUGUCUUCAUCCAGCAUCCUCAUUCAGAACUAGCCAACUGAGAUCUGUCACAUGGGGCCAUGGUAGUGGGGCCUGCCACAUCCCACCUCCCUAUAAGCUGUCACACCAGCUCUUGGCAGUGUGAGCCUGGGCUGCUGGCCACUCUGUAAAUGUAGCUACAUGAGGAAGAAAAAUAGACAUUAAAGCAGAAAAGGAGGUACGAUCCCUAGGGCUGCUUUCAGGAUGACAAAGGGUCGGAAACAGCAACUCCUGAGAGCAGGAGCCAUGCCUUUGCAAACACUGGGAUGUGCACAUACCUGCCUUAAGUCCAUGCAAGGGAGUGUGCAAGAGUGUGAGAGAGAAGCUAUGCCUCCCCAACUCCUCAUAAGGAGAAACAGUUCAAACUCUUAGACUUUGAUAGAACUUUCCAACAUAUGUGAAAUCAGCUACCUAAAUUAUGAGUCAUAAGUCACAUACCAAUUGCUAUGGUUUGAAUGUUUGUGUCUCCUCCAAAAUUUAUGUUGAACCUUAAGAGAUUUAUACCUUAUGAAAGAGCCAGAGAGAACUAGCUGGGCCUUUUUGAGCCCUUCUGUUCUCUGGAGGAUGCAGUGUUCAAGGCGCCAUCUUGGAAGCAGAGACCGGCCCUCACCAGAUAUGUGGCCCUCACGAGACACAAAAACUGCAGUCAUCUUGCUCCAGACUCCUCGACUGUGAGCAAUAAAUUUGUGCUGUUUACAAAUUACACAGUUAAGGUAUUUUGCUGUAGCAGCACAAACAGACUAAGAUACCAACUGACCUGCGGAUUUUGUGGAGAGACCUACCACUCCUACAUCCUAGUACUCUGAGCCUCUAAACAUGGCUUUCAUGUGGUAUGUCUAUGCCUUGAAGUCCAGACCCAAGAAAAACAAACCCAAAGAGAGACGGGGGUUCCCUGCUUGAGUUUUCUGUCUAAAGACUCACUUUUCUGGAUGAUGGAACAUGGGAGUGAUUGACAUUGGAAAAGAUUUCUUACUUCCAGGCAAGCCCCAUCUUCUCCCCACAGAGGAAUGGCGUUCCUUUGAUCUCAACAAGACAAGCAUAUCAGAAAACAUCUUAAUAAUUCAUCUGAGUGAUGCAUACAUAAUGUAACUGGCAUUAGUGGGGGAAGACCAUUUCUUUACAAGAACCAAAAGGGUUGCUACAUCCCUAGCUCCAAGCACAGCACCUGGCUCAAAGCAGGUGCUGAGAUUCUUAUUAAAAGACAAUUAAAAGAAA
rnacentral:lncRNA from 10 species